UUUGGAAAUAGACACUUCUAGAAAUCGGCCUGACCAUGUCAACCUAAAUGAGUACAAUCACAGCACAGUCUACAACAGCAUCAUGAUUGCUGAUAUGAGCUUCCCUGUGAUUGAACUCCGGAAGGUUGACAUGAGAAUGGUCAUUCCUCCGCUUAUUUUUUGUUUACUUUCGAUAUUCAUAUGUUCUUACCCAAAUGUUUGGAAGUUUAUUUGAUGAUGAAAGGACGUCUGGUGUGAUGACUAGCUUGCACACAUUGCCAGAACCGAUGCCUCCCAACCGGCGCAUGAAUGGCAUUGAAAAUCAUGGGGCUACGUGUUCCCUGAACUCAGUUUUGCAAACUCUGUUAUGUACUCUUGAAUUCAGAGAUAUUAAAAUAUAAUGGUUACUAUU